UUCGUUCAUCCUCAUUGCCCUCACAGACGUUUAUUUUGUUGGAUUGAUGACGAAUGAGGACGGAAGUAGGGAUUCUCCCGAAGGAACGCGCC
rnacentral:ncRNA from 2 species